AAUUGGAGCUACAGCUGCCAGCCUACACCACAGCCACAGCAAUAUCAGAUCUGAGCCGUUUCUGUGACCUACAUACAGCUCACAGCAAGGCUGGAUCCUUAACCCACUGAGCGAGGCCAGGGAUCGAACCCACAACCUCAAGGUUCCUAGUUGACUUCGUUUCUGCUGCGCCAUGAUGGGAACUCCCAGCACAGCGUGGAUGACUCUCCCAAACACAAUGUUGACAAAACGAAACAAAAGGAAGCCCUCAGACACGAAGAGGAGGCGGCUGCAGUAGGAUUCCAUUCUCAUCACUGUUCUUGGCCUGGAGCUAUUCUGCCCCAGGUGACUUCCAGUGAUCUCUGCAGACAGUUUGAUUGUCACAGCGGGUGGGGAGGGGAUGCUCCUGGCAUCCAGUGGGUGGAGGCUGGAAUGGUGCCCACACCCUACAGAGCACGGGGCAGCCCCUGGCCACAGGGUCCUCCCAAAUGCCAAGAGGGGCAGGUUGGGAAACUGAUUUUUCUAAAGGUUGGAACCAGGCAAAACUAGUAUCUGGUGUCAGCGAUAGAGUUGCUCCCGGGGUGGGGGGUGAAGUCUGGGAAGAGGACAAGGGGGCUUGAGGGAGGGGCUAGCUGUGUUUUGACCUGGGAGCUGGUCACCCGGGCCUGACGACACAUCAAGCUGUCCAUUUGCCCGCAUGUCUAUCCUAUUUCAAAAAUCUCCCUUAAGAAGAAUAAGAGCAGUGAGGCUUGUACAGGAAUCUCUAAUUGAUUCAAAUGACUUGAGAUGGACCCUCUAUGCAGGCAAUUCCCACUUCAAGGGAUAUUGUUUUCCCUUCUUUGCGCCUCAAAUGACAGAUCGGGAUGAGCUCAGAGGUCCCUGCGAACUGCAGGCAGAGGGCAUCGCAGGGAGCCCAUUCAUUUAGCUGCCUGCCAGCGACCUGCAGGCCCCCAGGAUAGAGAGCGCGGGGUGAGGCAGGGGCCUUCUGAGGGCAGAGGCUGGACCUGGAUGUGGGCUCUGUGGCCGCUUCUGGGCAUGGCUUCAGCCUGGAUUUUUAUAACGGCUAACAGCCCAGGGAGGGUUGCUUUUACUAAUGCCUUCAACAAACAGGGAUGCAGAACCUGCCUCUCAAAAGGGUUAAGGAGUUUGCACAAGGUCAGUUCCUUGGCUAACAAGGAGUGGGGGUCAGAAGGUGUGUGUGUGUGUGCGUGUGAGAGAGAGAGAGAGAGAGAGAACACGAAUGAGAGAAUUCAGGUGCACAGAUCAGUGGAACUUUUCGACCCACACAGCAGUUCAAGCUCAGAAUCUGGGUCCAGCAGCCACACGCCUCAAGUGUGUCCCCCUCCCUGAGGCCCUGCAUUUCUCUAAACACAGUCUGAGUUUUCUCUGCCAAGGGCCUCCCCAGAGAGGCUCAGAUGGAGCGUUGAGGACAUGACAGGUACCCAGCUCCGGGAAGGGAAGGACGCUGAGUCCACGCCCGUGACCCAGGUCAGGGUGCCCUGGGCGACACCAAAGGGGGAACUCGCUUAUGUAAAAAGUAAACAACCAUGCAGAGACUGUAAGAUUCUGGGCAUCCGAGUCCUCACUGAGGGAAAUGCAGAGAUGACCCCCAGAGCACCCUCCACGCUGAAGCUCAGGGCCAGAAUCAGUGCCGGGUCUGGUCUGUAGCGACCGCCCCUCUAGCCCCAAGUUUUAGGCAUCUGCCUAAAAUCGCCCCUCCAGCCCCAAUUCUCCUUUGGCCGAAGCACCCAGGCCUCGGCUCCGGCUCCGGGUACAGGGGUUGAGGUGGAGUAUAUGAAAUGGGAGCAGGAUGACAUCUUGCUCUGUUCAUUUCUUCCCCUGGGACCUGUGGAAAGUGCUGGAAGAAAUGCUAAUAAGCAGGGGUUUGGAGACUUUUUAACAUGGUGGCGGUGGCAUCUGGGCCCAGGGCCCCAUCGAAACUUCCAGGUUGUGAAAAUAAGCCAAGAAGAAGGGCCCCAGAAUAAAACAGGGAGUCACUGCCUCUAAAUCAACACACUUGAAAGCCUUUAAGACCUAAGACAAGGCAGUGAUUUGUGGAGCCCAAAGCAGCAGCAUCAGUGUCCUGGGACUCCACCUCAGAGUUCACUCUCCAAGGUCAUGGUCAGUUGUCAGGCCCUGAGCCCUGAGCCUUCGAGGCCAGAGGAGGAGGCUGAAGUCUCCCAAAGCCACCCAGCCUGCUGUCCAGCUCCACAUGCCCUGCCCAUGGCACCUUGCGCCACGCCCACCCCACGCCUGCCCGGGGUCAGCCAGGGUGCCUCGAUGGGAGGUGGUCGUUCCCCAUCGUACAGAUGGCAAAACUGAGGCUUCAACAGGUUCCAUGGUCCCAAAGUUCCAGAGCCCGAAUUCCAACUGCCCGAGUAUUGUGGGGUACCUGGCAAGGCUCCAAGAGUAUUACUAG
rnacentral:lncRNA from 1 species